rnacentral:rRNA from 12 species
UAAGAGAGUUUGAUCCUGGCUCAGGAUGAACGCUGGCGGUAUGCCUAACACAUGCAAGUCGUACGAGAGUUUUUAACUCUAGUGGCGGACGGGUGAGUAACACGUGAGAAUUUACCUUUAGGAGGGGGAUAACAAUUGGAAACGAAUGCUAAUACCCCAUAUGCUUUCGAGUGAAAUGGAUUUAUAUUUAUCCGCCUAGAGAGAAGCUCGCGGCUGAUUAGCUUGUUGGUAAGGUAAGAGCUUACCAAGGCGACGAUCAGUAUCUGGUUUGAGAGGACGAUCAGACACACUGGAACUGAGACACGGUCCAGACUCCUACGGGAGGCAGCAGUGGGGAAUUUUCCGCAAUGGGCGAAAGCCUGACGGAGCAAUACCGCGUGAGGGAAGACUGCCUAUGGGUUGUAAACCUCUUUUUUCAGGGAGGAAUAAAAUGACGUGUACCUGAAGAAUAAGCAUCGGCUAACUCCGUGCCAGCAGCCGCGGUAAGACGGAGGAUGCAAGUGUUAUCCGGAAUCACUGGGCGUAAA